GACGAACGCUGGCGGCGUGCUUAACACAUGCAAGUCGAACGGAAAGGCCCCUUUGGGGGUACUCGAGUGGCGAACGGGUGAGUAACACGUGAGUAACCUGCCCUUGACUUCGGGAUAACUUCAGGAAACUGGGGCUAAUACCGGAUAGGAAUCCUUGCUGCAUGGUGGGGGUUGGAAAGCUUCGGCGGUUUUGGAUGGACUCGCGGCGUAUCAGCUUGUUGGUGGGGUAGUGGCUUACCAAGGCUUUGACGGGUAGCCGGCCUGAGAGGGCGACCGGCCACAUUGGGACUGAGAUACGGCCCAGGCUCCUACGGGAGGCAGCAGUGGGGAAUAUUGAACCAUGGGCGGCAGCCUGAUGCAGCAACGCCGCGUGCGGGAUGACGGCCUUCGGGUUGUAAACCGCUUUCAGCAGGGGCGAAGCUUGUGGUGACGGUACCUGCAGAAGAAGCACCGGCUAACUACGUG
rnacentral:rRNA from 1 species